rnacentral:rRNA from 1 species
CAGUAGCCGCGGUAAUACGGGGGGGGCAAGUGUUAUUCGGAAUGACUGGGCGUAAAGGGCACGUAGGCGGUGAAAAGGGUGGAAAGUGAAAGUCGCCAAAACACUGGCGGGGUGCUUUCUUGACCAUUUCACUUGAGUGAGAUAGGGGAGAGUGGAAUUUCGUGUGGAGGGAUCAAAUCCUAAGAUAUACGAAGGAACGCCAACCGCGAAGGCAGCUCUCUGGGUCCCCACUGACGCUGGGGUGCGAAAGCAUGGGGAGCAAACAGGAUCAGAUACCCCUGUAGUCCCUGUCUCUUAUACA